rnacentral:rRNA from 1 species
GAGCGGACAGAUGGGAGCUUGCUCCCUGAUGUUAGCGGCGGACGGGUGAGUAACACGUGGGUAACCUGCCUGUAAGACUGGGAUAACUCCGGGAAACCGGGGCUAAUACCGGAUGGUUGUUUGAACCGCAUGGUUCAAACAUAAAAGGUGGCUUCGGCUACCACUUACAGAUGGACCCGCGGCGCAUUAGCUAGUUGGUGAGGUAACGGCUCACCAAGGCAACGAUGCGUAGCCGACCUGAGAGGGUGAUCGGCCACACUGGGACUGAGACACGGCCCAGACUCCUACGGGAGGCAGCAGUAGGGAAUCUUCCGCAAUGGACGAAAGUCUGACGGAGCAACGCCGCGUGAGUGAUGAAGGUUUUCGGAUCGUAAAGCUCUGUUGUUAGGGAAGAACAAGUACCGUUCGAAUAGGGCGGUACCUUGACGGUACCUAACCAGAAAGCCACGG